rnacentral:rRNA from 1 species
GACGAACGCUGGCGGCGUGCUUAACACAUGCAAGUCGAACGAAGAGCGAUGGAAGCUUGCUUCUAUCAAUCUUAGUGGCGCACGGGUGAGUAACGCGUAAUCAACCUGCCCUUCAGAGGGGGACAACAGUUGGAAACGACUGCUAAUACCGCAUACGAUCUAACCUCGGCAUCGAGGAUGGAUGAAAGGUGGCCUCUAUUUAUAAGCUAUCACUGCAGGAGGGGAUUGCGUCUGAUUAGCUAGUUGGAGGGGUAACGGCCCACCAAGGCGAUGAUCAGUAGCCGGUCUGAGAGGAUGAACGGCCACAUUGGGACUGAGACACGGCCCAGACUCCUACGGGAGGCAGCAGUGGGGAAUCUUCCGCAAUGGACGAAAGUCUGACGGAGCAACGCCGCGUGAGUGAUGACGGCCUUCGGGUUGUAAAGCUCUGUUAAUCGGGACGAAAGGCCUUCUUGCGAAUAGUUAGAAGGAUUGACGGUACCGGAAUAGAAAGCCACGGCUAACUACGUG